rnacentral:tRNA from 1 species
AAGUGGAUUGGUGUAACUGGAAAACAUCUUUGGCUCAUAUCCAAAAGAUAAAGGUUCAAGUCCUUAUCCGCGUU